CAGUCGCCACGGGAAUACGAAGGGGGCUAGCGUUGUUCGGAUUUACUGGGCGUAAAGCGCACGUAGGCGGACUUUUAAGUCAGGGGUGAAAUCCCGGGGCUCAACCCCGGAACUGCCUUUGAUACUGGGAGUCUUGAGUUCGAGAGAGGUGAGUGGAAUUGCGAGUGUAGAGGUGAAAUUCGUAGAUAUUCGCAGGAACACCAGUGGCGAAGGCGGCUCACUGGCUCGAUACUGACGCUGAGGUGCGAAAGCAUGGGGAGCAAACAGGAUUAGAUACCCCGGUAGUCCCUGUCUCUUAUAC
rnacentral:rRNA from 1 species